rnacentral:ncRNA from 1 species
UUCUUCGGGGCAGGGUGGAAUUCCCUACCGGCGGUAUAGUCCGCGAACCAUGUUAUGUGGCCGACCUGGUGAGAUUCCAGAACCGACAGUAAAGUCUGGAUGAGAGAAGAA